CCCUUAGAUGUUCUGGGCCGCACGCGUGCUACACUGAACGGUUCAAUGGGUGAGGUAGUGCGAAAGCAUGACCCAAUCUCAAAAUCCGUUCGUGCUGGGGAUAGAAGCUUGUAAUUCUCCUUCUUGAACGAGGAAUACCUUGUAAGCGCGAGUCAUCAUCUCGCGCUGAAUACGUCCCUGCCCUUUGUACACACCGCCCGUCGCUCCUACCGAUUGAGUGGUCCGGUGAGGCUUCGGGAGAGCUAAAUGGAUUGUGUUUCACAAACUAUUUGGCUUGAACUUAGUCAAACCUUACUACUUAGAGGAAGGAGAAGUCGUAACA
rnacentral:rRNA from 1 species